UGAUGAAGAAGGCCUUCGGGUUGGAAAGACUUUCAGCGGGGAGGAAGGCGAUAAGGUUAAUAACCUUGUCGAUUGACGUUACCCGCAGAAGAAGCACCGGCUAACUCCGUGCCAGCAGCCGCGAUAAUAGA
rnacentral:rRNA from 1 species